rnacentral:rRNA from 1 species
ACUCAAAUGAAUUGACGGGGGCCCGCACAAGCGGUGGAGCAUGUGGUUUAAUUCGACGCAACGCGCAGAACCUUACCAGCCCUUGACAUGGUGGCUACGCCCCGGGGAGACCCGGGGUUCCCGCAAGGGGGCCAUCACAGGUGCUGCAUGGCUGUCGUCAGCUCGUGUCGUGAGAUGUUGGGUUAAGUCCCGCAACGAGCGCAACCCUUGUCUCUAGUUGCCAUCGGGUAGGGCCGGGCACUCUAGAGAGACCGCCGGUGACAAGCCGGAGGAAGGUGGGGAUGACGUCAAGUCCUCAUGGCCUUUAUGGGCUGGGCUACACACGUGCUACAAUGGCGGUGACAGUGGGCAGCGAAGCAGCAAUGUGGAGCUAAUCCCCAAAAGCCGCCUCAGUUCGGAUCGCGGGCUGCAACUCGCCCGCGUGAAGGUGGAAUCGCUAGUAAUCGUGGAUCAGCAUGCCACGGUGAAUACGUUCCCGGGCCUUGUACACACCGCCCGU